UUCAGGCGGCGUGUUCUCUCCAUUGAUGUUGCUGCUGAUGGCGGUGUGUGGGCUUGGGUGGAUAAUCCAGUGCCAUCCAUUAUUUUAUACACUUAAUAAUGAUUUAAAACUGUCAUCAGUGUAUUCUUGAAAUAUCAAUAGAAUGCUUCUCAUAAUUAUUUUUGUUGAUUUAACUUUUUAAGUGAGAUGUUAUAAGGCAGUAGUCUUUACCCCCAUGCCUGCCCUCCUACAGGGUGGCUAGCCCACUCAGUGGAGGCCUUGACUUGGACAAAGGUGGUGGCUAUGUUUUGUCACAGAACACUACCUUCACCCUGAUGAAUGCAGCUUGAGCUCAAAGUAAACCUUCAAAUAUUUCAAGUCCCUGAUUUCUGCCUGCCUGUUAUGGGGGAUGGGUACCUGAAGAAGCUGCUUGGGAUGUCUCUGACAGCUGCUUGGGAUUGAAGGCAUUCUGUGGUGUGGUGAUGCCCUUGAUGGAAAAUCAUGCAGUGCAUUGGACCUGAUGAACAUCAACCUAGAAUAAUUAACCCUCCAAUGUUGCUGUGGCUAGUGUUUUGCCUUUAAGCUGAUGCCAUUAUAUUGAUGUUAUAUGAAUAAACAUCUUCAAGACUGA